rnacentral:tRNA from 1 species
GGUUGUGGCUCAGUGGUAGCCCACUUGCCUACCAUGCAUGAGGCGCUGGGUUCGAUUCUCAGCACUA